GUCGGCUUAGCUUAAUUGGUAAAGCGUUCGUUUUGUAAGCGAUAACUUGGGGGUUCAACUCCUCUAGCCGGCU
rnacentral:tRNA from 2 species